AAAAUGUGUAUGGGACAACAUUACACGGCCAUAGCAUAUGGUGGAAUAAAAGUGGGAACCACCACUUAAAUAAGUUCACGGUUUUGCACAAGAAAAGCAUAUAAGCAUAGGGAGAAGAAGCACAUAAUGGAGGGGACCACGUUUUGAAAGCUCAUGACCAAAAAGAAAACAUCACUCGGCAAUUUACAUGAAGUAAAAAUUUUCUUCCUUUAAUACACCAAGGGACCACCACUUGUUUACAAGUUUAAGUGUUGACAUGGCCUACAAGAACCACCUCUUUGUUCAGAGUUCACGUAUGGGAGAAAUGAAGUAAUAAUGAUUUAAUAUUGGUAAGGGAAGUGUGUUACGGCCAUAUGCUUGCAAGCCAACAAAUCACAUAUUUUGAUGGAAGAAAGGGGGCCACCACUUCACGGUUCUGACCUUGUUUUAGUGCAGAAUUUUUGACAUGCUUUCUCCCCUCAAGAGCUCACGGCUAUGAGUCCAUCCACCACUUAGGAAAUGAUAUUUUCCCAUGGAAGAAAGAAACGCAUUCACGGACUGAGAAGAGGUGGAGAUUACGAUUUGGUAGAAGCAAGAAACCCGUGAAGUUGGAUGGAGAAGCCACGUUGAAGAGAGUGGUGUGCCACGGCCCAUAGCAGCAAGUGAUCUUCAUUUUGAAGAGAAACACAAUGGAGGGCUGCAUGCGGACAUCAACACAAGAUCUGCACUCCUUCAAAUCUUCAUCCAAAAGGGUCCAUGAGAAGCAAAGCUCUCGGACAGCUGCAGCAGUACAUGGCAGCAGAAUCCAGCAGCUAACAUCCAAGGAGCUG
rnacentral:sRNA from 1 species